GUGAGUCUACAGAAGUGUUGUGUAAGGCAAAGAUCCGUUACGUCUGAGGACGAAGGGACUGCCCUUUUCCGGGAAAGACACUGUUUGAUCAUUGCUGUCUCUUACUUGGCAACAAGAUGGACUUGGAAAGAAAGAAUUCUGCCACAGUGUGAAGCUUCCAAGCCAUAAACAAUCUUAAAUGGCCUCCCAAGAAGUCGAUAAUGCAGAGCUGGGGACAGCCUCAGCAGGUGGUACCCCAGACAGCCAGGAGCACCCAGAGGGGGUGAAUAAUUCUCCUUACCAGCCCAUUGAGGGAUCACAAGAUUAUCAGAAAGCAAUACUGCAAGCCCUUGGGGCCAUCCAGGUCCUGAAUGGAGCGAUGAUUCUGGCUGUAGGUGUUUUUCUAGGUUCCUUACAGUACCUGUCUCACCUCUUCAGGCACUUCUUUUUCUUCACUUUCUACACAGGCUAUCCACUGUGGGGUGCAGUUUUUUUUAUUAGUUCAGGAUCCUUGUCUAUUGCAGCAGGGAGAAAACCCACAAGAACGUUGAUGCAAAACAGUUUUGGGAUGAACAUUGCCAGCGCUACAAUUGCACUAGUUGGGAUUGUUUUUCUCUCAAUAAAUUUAGCAGUUAAUAUCCUGUCACUCAAGAGUUGUCAGUCUUCACAGUCCCCAGACUUAUGCAUUUAUAUGGGCUCUUCAUCAAACUUUCUUCCUCCCCAUGACUACUUCGUAUGGGUUGAUACAGAAAUAUCCACACAUCUGUUUCUCUUCAUGGAAAACAUCCUCGUACUUUUAGAGGCCUGGUGUCUCUAAUGCUUAUCCUCACUCUACUGGAACUGUGUAUAACUAUCUCUGUGUCGGCCAUGUGGUGCAAAGCAAACUGCUGUGAUUCAAGACAGGCAAUUUCUUCACCUCACAAUUCUGUGGAACCAGGGAUACCUCCUGAUAAAAGUAAUUCAGAAAGCAUGAACAUUCAACCUCAAGUCUCCAAUGAAUGAGAGCUUCAUCUAAGAACUCAGGAAACAUGACCCUAGGAAACAAUCCUUCUUUCAUGUCACCAAUCAUGGGAAACUUGGACAUCUGACUCAAUGGUUUCUGUCCUAACUCUAACUCCAAUUAGGGUGCUCUGGUUAUGGAAGGACAAUAUAUAUUUCUUUAGGCAUUCUUUAGGCACUAUGAUCAAUACUCCAAAGUUGUUCACAGGAGUUAGUUUUUCUUCUCAUUUGCUGCUUUAUGAAGCUUAAGAAAGGAAGGUAAUAUAAUUAUCCAAAUCUCUCUAAAAUCCAAAUUUCAAUAACCCAGUGGGAAGAAAAAUGAGUCUGCUUUUCUUUCAUUACAGAAAAAUUCGUCUUGUCUCUAGCUGAUAAUCAGCAUUACGAGAAUGUCACAUGAAAAAUCAUUACUAUCAUGAUUAAGAUAGAUUUUCACUACAUUUGAGAUAGCAGGGUUAAGCCUCAAAGAUUUUAUUUCAGUCUGCUGCUGAAUUCACACAUGUCCUGGUACAUAAAUGGUGGUUUUGUUUGUGAACUUUGAGAGCAAGGUCAACUUUUUAAUUUUUUCCCCCCAAAACCCAGACACUGUAAGUCAGAGAACAAGGGCUUUAGAAUCUGAUAGAUCUGUGUUCAAAUUCUGACAAUGCCAAUUAUCUGAAUUUGGGCAAGUUACUAGUCUACCUGACCUAUUAUUCCUCAUCUGUAACAUAGAUGUAAUAAUAUCAGCUACCUUAUUGGUUGUUAUGCGGAUGAAAUGAAAAUAAAGUGUAUGUGAAGUAGCAUCAAAACUAAUUGAUAAUGUUACUAUUGUUGGUCUUGCUGUUGCUGUUGAAGCAGAGGUGGGAUUGUGGUCAGAUGUGUUGGGUGAAUGACAGAUACCUUCCCUUCUCCUAUGACUCCUCCUCUGUUCUCUUGCAGUUUCAAUGGCCCUAUUUUCCAGGUGGCAAUUUAAUGCUAAAAUAUUUUUCAGUUCCUGAUUUACAAUUUAUAAUUUAUAGAUUUACAUUUCUAAUUUAUAAAUUCAUUGGUCUAAUUUAUAACUGAAUCUUCUAUAUCUUGACACUGCAUUGAGUCAUCUCUAACAUCCAUAAGUUCACAACCAUAAGUUA